rnacentral:snRNA from 1 species
ACACUUACUUGGCAGGGGAGGUGCUGUGAUCACAAGAGGGGUUAGCCAAGGUGAGGCUCAUCAUUGCACCUGGACGUGCUGAUCCCUGUGACGUCCUCCAAAUGUAGGAAGUUCAACUGCAUUAUCUGUGGCAGGGGGGACUAUGUUCACACUUUCCCCUG